AUUGCUUCUCAGCCAUUUGGCUAAGAUCAAGUAUGGUAUCUGUUCUAAUAAGAAGUUUGCCUCCUAAUCUGGCUCAGGGUCAGUAUCUUCUCUGUUAUCUUCA
rfam:Otolemur garnettii contig053843, whole genome shotgun sequence.